rnacentral:rRNA from 1 species
AUUGUAGUCUGCAACCCGACUACAUGAAGCUGGAAUCGCUAGUAAUCGCGAAUCAGAAUGUCGCGGUGAAUACGUUCCCGGGUCUUGUACACACCGCCCGUCACACCAUGGGAGUCGGAAAUGCCCGAAGUCAGUGACCCAACCGUAAGGAGGGAGCUGCCGAAGGUGGAGCCGGUAACUGGGGUGAAGUCGUAACAAGGUACC